rnacentral:rRNA from 1 species
UACGUAGGGACCAAGCGUUGUUCGGAUUUACUGGGCGUAAAGGGCGCGUAGGCGGCAAUUCAAGUCAUCUGUGAAAUCUCCGGGCUUAACUCGGAACGGUCAGGUGAUACUGCUUUGCUAGAGUGCAGAAGGGGCAAUCGGAAUUCUUGGUGUAGCGGUGAAAUGCGUAGAUAUCAAGAGGAACACCUGAGGUGAAGACGGGUUGCUGGGCUGACACUGACGCUGAGGCGCGAAAGCUAGGGGAGCAAACAGG